rnacentral:lncRNA from 1 species
CUGAAGUCAAUCAAAGGAGUACUAGCAAUAAAGAGGAAGAUGUUAUCAUGGGGUGAAGAUGAGGCAAUGCCAAGUAUAGUGCAGCGUACAGAGCCUGGAGCAAGUAUUUCCAGCCUUGUUUUGCAACCGAUAAAAAUGAGACUCAGAGGUGAAUGGCUUCCCAGAGUUUACAAAACUAGUAAAUGGCAGAAUAAAGACCUUCAAUCCAGGUUUCUUGGUUACAAAUGCUGUGCUCUUUCCUCCCGGACAUGAGUGACUCUCCCUUCUCUGGUUCUCCUCAUGCGAAUCCAAUUAGGUGCCAAGAUCUUCAGAUUUUACCUUCAUCAAGUUUUCCACAUUCACUCUGCAUUUUCGCUCUUAUUUACAGUUUGGAUCUAGAGAAAGACCACACAUUGCACUUCUGAACAAAUGCAGGCUCCGGGAUGCCAAGUGACUUCAUAUCAACAUCACCCAGCAGAUUAAGGGAACUGGGCCCAGAAUCCUAGGCUUCUGACUACCCAGUCCUGUGCCCAUUCUAGUGGCCACUACACUCACCCACUGGUUGUAGCCAUAUCUGGCUUAGGCUGGCAACCCUUUUGAAGCAAGGAUGACUCUUUCUUUCUUUUGCCCAAGACCAUUCUUCAUAUAAUAAGACAUUUAACAGAUUGUGGGUUUGAUUUAUAGGUAUGGUGAACUAACACUGGAAUGUAUCUGAAAGAUUGAGGCAGGAGAGGUAGUCAAGGAAGUAACCACGUCUUUCGGACGUGGCAACCGUGAUGACCACCAACACAAUAAGCCCUGGUGUUGACACUGUAGUCAAGCUCAUUCAAGCAAAGCUAUUUUCAGUAGGGAAUUUCCUCUGUAGAGAGCAUGCACAUUUUGAUUUUACCUGUCCUCAAACUGAC